rnacentral:lncRNA from 1 species
UUGAACUUGUCUGACUUUUUCAAAAAAACACCAUUACUGCCGCUACCGGGCACCGUCAUGGUGAAAUCCGCCGGAUAGACCCUCCCUCCAUAAAAAUUCCACCAGAAAACAUCGAAAUCGGCGAGUCCAAUAGAAGCCACCAACCCACCCAUCGCCGGAAACGACAUUCCUUGACUGAAAAAUAUCAAAAUAAUCACAAAACAC